CAAGUACUCCCCGUCCGAAAUUACUUGUCAUCAAAAUGGAUGUGUCUAGAACUAAAAUACAUCUAGAUACAUCCAUUUCAAUGACAAGUAUUUUUGGACGGAGGGAGUACAAG
rfam:Triticum aestivum genome assembly, contig: Triticum_aestivum_CS42_TGACv1_scaffold_629604_7DS